AACCGGACUGGGCUGCGCGCGGAGCCCCCUCUUCCCGUGCACAGUGCGGGGCGAGGCUUGGCGAGCGGUGGGUCUGCGCCUUCCCAAGAAGAGACUGGGGCAGCAUGAAUGUGCUGGAAGAUUAGAGGCUGCUGAUGCUGAAGGAAGGAGAAACGAGGAGGAAGUGUCCCUGUGGACAAGUCAUCUCCCUUCAUUUAAGCCAGGCCAGUAGUCCGGGAGACAUUCUGAAUGAUGCAUUAUCCUAGGCACCAGAAAGUAUCUAACAUUCUCAUGGACAGCAGGGAAAAAUGAGCACAUGAGACAGGGGAAGAUUCCAGCACCUGUGAACAUGUUUGUGCAGGUUUCCAGUCAGUACAUGGAUAUCCCUCAAGCCUUUGAAUCCAGUCUCCUGUGUUGUGAUUGGACCGUUUGUCAUUAGGUUUCCAGUGGCAGAGUAAUGCUGUGGGAGAACUGGCUACGAUGGCCGCAGGAGGGAAGGCUGGGAGGUAUGAAUUUGAAGCUGGACACGUUGCUGCUCCCCUUAAAGUUUGGAUUAUUUUACUAAAGAAGAAGAGAACAGGAUCUUGUGUCUUCUACCAGUAUCCAUGAGAUUGUGGCAGGCUAAAAUCACAGACUCUUCAGAGUUUUCAUAAUGAUAAAGUAAAUAUUGCAAAGUACACAUACAAUAAGUGUACAAUUGAUGAAUCCUACAAAGUGAACUCACUCAUGUAACCAGCACCAGAUGAAGAAAAAAACAUCAGCAGCAUCACAGAAGCCCCCCAAAUGUCCCCUUCAGUCAAUAGCCUCCCAAAGAUAACCACACUCCUAUCUAGCAGUGUGGGUUAAUUUUUCCUGUUUUUGAACUUUGCAUAUAUUAAAUCAUACAACAUG
rnacentral:lncRNA from 1 species